rnacentral:rRNA from 1 species
AAUAUGGGACAAUGGUGGUAACGCUGAUCCAGCCAGGCCUCGUGUGUGAAGAAUGUCAUAGGAUAGUAACUUACUUUAAGUUGGGAGGAAGAGUUAUAGGCUAAUACGUUGCACAUUUGACGUUACCAACAGAAUAAGUACUGGCUAACUCCGUGCCAGCAGCCGCGGUAAUACGAACGUUACAAGCGUUAAUCGGAAUUACUGGGCCUAAAGCGCGCGUAGGUGGUUCGUUAAGUUGGAAGUGAAAGCCCCGGGCAUAACCUGGGAAUUGCUUUCAAAACUGACGAGCUAGAGUACGGUAGAGGGUAGUGGAAUUUCCUGUGUAGCGGUGAAAUGCGUAGAUAUAGGAAGGAACAUCAGUGGCGAAGGCGACUACCUGGACUGAUACUGACACUGAGGUGCGAAAGCGUGGGGAGCAAACAGG